rnacentral:rRNA from 1 species
AGAGUUUGAUCAUGGCUCAGGACGAACGCUGGCUGCGUGCUUAACACAUGCAAGUCGAACGCUGAAGCCCUGGUGCUUGCACCGGGGUGGAUGAGUGGCGAACGGGUGAGUAACACGUGAGUAACCUGCCCCUGACUUCGGGAUAAGCCCGGGAAACUGGGUCUAAUACCGAAUAUGACCGUUCCUCGCAUGAGGGAUGGUGGAAAGUUUUUUCGGUUGGGGAUGGGCUCGCGGCCUAUCAGCUAGAUGGUGGGGUAAUGGCCCACCAUGGCGACGACGGGUAGCCGGCCUGAGAGGGCGACCGGCCACACUGGGACUGAGACACGGCCCAGACUCCUACGGGAGGCAGCAGUGGGGAAUAUUGCACAAUGGGGGAAACCCUGAUGCAGCGACGCAGCGUGCGGGAUGACGGCCUUCGGGUUGUAAACCGCUUUCAGCAGGGAAGAAGCCCCUUGGGGUGACGGUACCUGCAGAAGAAGUACCGGCUAACUACGUGCCAGCAGCCGCGGUAAUACGUAGGGUACGAGCGUUGUCCGGAAUUAUUGGGCGUAAAGAGCUCGUAGGUGGUUGGUCACGUCUGCUGUGGAAACGCAACGCUUAACGUUGCGCGUGCAGUGGGUACGGGCUGACUAGAGUGCAGUAGGGGAGUCUGGAAUUCCUGGUGUAGCGGUGAAAUGCGCAGAUAUCACGAGGAACACCGGUGGCGAAGGCGGGACUCUGGGCUGUAACUGACACUGAGGAGCGAAAGCAUGGGGAGCGAACAGGAUUAGAUACCCUGGUAGUCCAUGCCGUAAACGUUGGGCACUAGGUGUGGGGGACAUUCCACGUUCUCCGCGCCGUAGCUAACGCAUUAAGUGCCCCGCCUGGGGAGUACGGUCGCAAGGCUAAAACUCAAAGGAAUUGACGG